AUGCAGUCGAGCGGUAGCACAGAGAGCUUGCUCUCGGGUGACGAGCGGCGGACGGGUGAGUAAUGUCUGGGAAACUGCCUGAUGGAGGGGGAUAACUACUGGAAACGGUAGCUAAUACCGCAUAACGUCGCAAGACCAAAGUGGGGGACCUUCGGGCCUCAUGCCAUCAGAUGUGCCCAGAUGGGAUUAGCUAGUAGGUGGGGUAACGGCUCACCUAGGCGACGAUCCCUAGCUGGUCUGAGAGGAUGACCAGCCACACUGGAACUGAGACACGGUCCAGACUCCUACGGGAGGCAGCAGUGGGGAAUAUUGCACAAUGGGCGCAAGCCUGAUGCAGCCAUGCCGCGUGUAUGAAGAAGGCCUUCGGGUUGUAAAGUACUUUCAGCGGGGAGGAAGGCGAUAAGGUUAAUAACCUUGUCGAUUGACGUUACCCGCAGAAGAAGCACCGGCUAACUCCGUGCCAGCAGCCGCGGUAAUACGGAGGGUGCAAGCGUUAAUCGGAAUUACUGGGCGUAAAGCGCACGCAGG
rnacentral:rRNA from 1 species